rnacentral:rRNA from 1 species
CGGACGGGUGAGUAACGCGUGGGUAACCUGCCCUGUACACACGGAUAACAUACCGAAAGGUAUGCUAAUACGGGAUAACAUAAGAAAUUCGCAUGUUUUUCUUAUCAAAGCUCCGGCGGUACAGGAUGGACCCGCGUCUGAUUAGCUAGUUGGUGAGGUAACGGCUCACCAAGGCGACGAUCAGUAGCCGACCUGAGAGGGUGAUCGGCCACAUUGGAACUGAGACACGGUCCAA